GGGAAUCUUCCACAAUGGACGCAAGUCUGAUGGAGCAACGCCGCGUGAGUGAAGAAGGUUUUCGGAUCGUAAAGCUCUGUUGUUGGUGAAGAAGGAUAGAGGUAGUAACUGGCCUUUAUUUGACGGUAAUCAACCAGAAAGUCACGGCUAACUACGUGCCAGCAGCCGCGGUAAUACGUAGGUGGCAAGCGUUGUCCGGAUUUAUUGGGCGUAAAGCGAGCGCAGGCGGAAGAAUAAGUCUGAUGUGAAAGCCCUCGGCUUAACCGAGGAACUGCAUCGGAAACUGUUUUUCUUGAGUGCAGAAGAGGAGAGUGGAACUCCAUGUGUAGCGGUGGAAUGCGUAGAUAUAUGGAAGAACACCAGUGGCGAAGGCGGCUCUCUGGUCUGCAACUGACGCUGAGGCUCGAAAGCAUGGGUAGCGAAC
rnacentral:rRNA from 1 species